rnacentral:rRNA from 1 species
UACGAAGGGGGCUAGCGUUGCUCGGAAUCACUGGGCGUAAAGGGUGCGUAGGCGGGUCUUUAAGUCAGGGGUGAAAUCCUGGAGCUCAACUCCAGAACUGCCUUUGAUACUGAGGAUCUUGAGUUCGGGAGAGGUGAGUGGAACUGCGAGUGUAGAGGUGAAAUUCGUAGAUAUUCGCAAGAACACCAGUGGUGAAGGCGGCUCACUGGCCCGAUACUGACGCUGAGGCACGAAAGCGUGGGGAGCAAACAGG